GCAUUAGAGAGGUCACGAACUGGGUGUCAUGUCGGGCCAUAAACAAGCCUGGAAGUUCAGAAAAAACUCAGAUAAAGGAGACCAGGAACAGUUUCUACCUUCAUAAGAAUGAUAGUCCGUAGUCCAGGAGCAGCUGAGUGACAGAAUGAUGUCGACGUGACGGUGUGGCCGCAGCACAGGAGGGAAGGCGGCGUUAAUGUCAAAUCCAGCAUCUACCAUGCCAAGGGUGGGGUCCGUGGGGGUCAGAUUGUUUGGAAACACAUCCGGGUGUGUCUCUGCAAACAGCACACAAUCAGAACAGAACAGAAAUUAUAAUUCUUGCUUGGCCAGAAAAAGUACAUUUGUUUGCAGCUUCAAUUGAACAUACAUAUACAGACAUAUCGUGAUGCUUUGUCAGACAAGAAAUGCUCCUUGAUUGGAAGUGAUACAUUGAAGUCGGAAGGUCGGACUGCCCAGUGUACAGACGUGGGAGGACUAAUGCUGUUCAGUCGGGAAACAUGCAAUGUUGCACAGGAAGCACAGGAAGAAGAACAGACUGGGUGAGAGAAUUGAGGUCAGUAAUACAGUCUUACCAAUGCUACACACAUCCUCCCCCAACCAUGAAGUCCAGGACGGCACCGCCCCAGUGACAUGUUUCCAGAGCUGCAUCAGGUGGAGCCAGACAAAGAGGUGAUGUAGCUGAUGGCAUCCAGCAAGCCGAGACGCUGCAGUCCUCUCAGAAAGCCUGUAUUACCUUACUCGGAUCCAGGGGAGAUUUGAGGUUGAGUAUUUUCUGCAGCGCACGAGACACCACCUCUUUCCUCUUUGCCAG